UACGUAGGUGGCGAGCGUUGUCCGGAAUUACUGGGUGUAAAGGGCGCGUAGGCGGGAAUGCAAGUCAGAUGUGAAAUCUCAAGGCUUAACCUUGAAACUGCAUCUGAAACUGUGUUUCUUGAGUGUCGGAGAGGAAAGCGGAAUUCCCCGUGUAGCGGUGAAAUGCGUAGAUAUGGGGAGGAACACCGGUGGCGAAGGCGGCUUUCUGGACGAUAACUGACGCUGAGGCGCGAAAGCGUGGGUAGCAAACAGG
rnacentral:rRNA from 1 species